UGUGGUUCUACUGGUGUUAUUGGUUCUGCUGGUGAGACGAUGUGUUCACAGGAAACCUGAAGAUGAAGAACAAGACGGAGAAGAUGACAUCACCAGCAAAAUCACAUACAGUGACAUCAACAUAUCAGCGCGUAUAAAACUACCAAUCAAAGCACAGAGAGAGACAGAUUCAGCUGUGGUCUACUCAGCAGUGACAACUGAAGAUGUCUGUUAUGGACAAACAACCAUCAGAAUAAGGAGGCCCAGACUUUAAACCAGAGCCAGACGUCGUCUACUCUUCACUGAAGUAGUCCACCAGUCCAACCACUGACUGCUGAGGGAUACACUAUGAAUGAAGUUCAAUGCACACAAGAUUUCUUUGCAUUAGCUAGCUCGAAUAAAAGUAAAAACCCAGUUGGAGAUAUCAGGUAUCAUGCAACUGAUUAACAAAUUUCAUUGUUAAGCUGGGCUGUCUGCUUCAGGUUUUGUUCACUUUUACAAAACAAGGGCUGCCACAACAAAGUCAUGUGACUGUUCUCCCAAACAAUAUGAUCCCUGUGAGUGCCGCCCAUUCCAAUCAAGGACAAUAUUACAUAAUGAAAAUAAAAUGUUGAUUAAAAAUCUAUACAUAACAAAAUUAUAAAAGUAAAAUGCAAUACUGUUGCAAGUAAGACAAGAUUACUCCUGGAUUACAAUUGGUGAAAAUCGCUAAUCUGGUGAUUUAGCAUACUGGGCCAUGAACAUGAGAUGUUUCCUGAUGACUUUAAAUUGAUUUUAAUUAAAUCUGAACAUAACCUGUUCAGGGGCAGGUUAUGUGUUCAGCUUAACGUAUCACUGAUGUAACACUUUUACCACCGGCUCAUGUAACAAAACCCACCUUAUGCCUUCGGGUGAAGUCUUAACCCUGGUUAAACAUUCUGUGAUAAAAGAUACAUCUCGAAAAGUAAAUAUCAGUCUAGGGUAUCGUAUGAUUCUCACGUCUAAAUAAUCAAUUGGAGGCUAUGGGAAAUACACUUGGCCUGUAAACGCUUAUGUAUCUGAAUACUUAAAUGUUAAAACACCAUGCAAUAAAACCAACACAAGAUCUCAGGUUUAGAAAAUGUAUUAAACAUUUGCAGGAAAUUCACAUUGAAACCCUUUUUUUUAUGAAGAAGAACGAAUAUAGAAAAUAAAAUAGAACCCCGGGGGAUAGGUUUUAGUCUUUCUUUCCUCAAACUGUCCAAUUUUAUUUUGAGUGCACUCUUAGUCUAUUUUUGUUGGCGCGCUUUAGUUGGAGCUCGUUGUAAUAACGAUACCUCUGUGUAUCCGUGAAGUCUUGGCCGCAUCCGAUGAAUCACUCGCUCGUUGCGGUAGCAACCGUCUCCGCUCGCAGCAGCGAGCAACGAAUCUCCGGUUCCCUCAGUAGUAGCGAAUCGUCCUCCGUCAACGUCUCUCUCCCGAGGCGACUCUCAAAACUCCUUCUGUCCGCUCAGGCGGUAUCCCCUUCAGCAAGGACCGUGACGUUAGCCUAGCUCCGGCUAGCUAACGUAACCAAACUUGCCUCGUGCUCACCCAGCACAAAUGG